AUGGCACGCCGUAAGAAGCUUGUUGAUGACAGCGGGUGGAAGGAUGUACUGUUUGCCAACGAAUACGCCCUGCUCAUGGGGUACCUGUCCAUGGCCGUCAAGGGCCUUGGUUUUCUGGUGCUUACUUGGACCACCGUGGUUCUUUUGGGUGGCUUCGUCUCUACACUGCAGAAGAAGGAUUUCUGGUCUCUUACAUUCAUCACCCUAGCACAAACAGCUGGGAUUUUCGAUGUUCUUCUGACUGAAAAGCUAAGCUAUAUUGGGGAUUCAAUUUCGGCCAUUAUAUCUGUUCGAUUGGCCCUGUUUGAUGAUCACCCUUUGCAGCGUAAACGCCAGGUGCUGGCAACUGUUGUAGCCACUGUUCAACAAGUAGUAUUUGUCAUUCUAUUGUGCCCUCUGGCGACUGUCUACAUGUUUGGGUUGUUAAUCUCUGCGGGGAUUUCUGUGUGGCGUCUGAGGCAACAUGAUUACGGGAGUGAUGCCGACGGACUUGGAAACCUGAAGCCGGCGCUCGACAUCUUGUAUUCCAUUGCUCUACUCUAG
rnacentral:rRNA from 1 species